rnacentral:rRNA from 1 species
UACGGAGGGGGCUAGCGUUGUUCGGAAUUACUGGGCGUAAAGGGCUCGUAGGCGGCCAACUAAGUCAGACGUGAAAUCCCUCGGCUUAACCGGGGAACUGCGUCUGAUACUGGAUGGCUUGAGUUUGGGAGAGGGAUGCGGAAUUCCAGGUGUAGCGGUGAAAUGCGUAGAUAUCUGGAGGAACACCGGUGGCGAAGGCGGCGUUCUGGACUGUCACUGACACUGAAGAACGAAAGCCAGGGGAGCAAACGGG